UCCCUCCUGGUCGUCGCCCUCCGCCCCCCGUUCGCCGGCGCCGGCCCGCCGCCCUCUCCGCCCCCGUUCGCCGACCAGUCGUAUGUACGUGCAUUCACAUAUCUUGCUUGAUGAGCACAUAAGCAUUGUGUGACCUUUAAUUAAUUAAUUAUCCUCACGACAGAAAGAACAAACAGACUAUAUGGAGUCAUUGACUCCCUCCCAUUUUUGUAUGGUAAUUGCUGAAUCAGAAAUUCACCUGAAUUUGGGCAUUCUUGAUUUUGAUUUGCUGGCAUUUGAUAUAAGAUACAGUGCAAUUGUGUAUAGACAUAAUUGCUGAAUGGAGUAGUCAACUAAAAUUUUGGUUGCUCCAAGCAUUUCUGAAAGAACCGGUUACCCUGUAUUUAAAUUAAGCUAAUAAGUACAUCUGAAAACAAAUAUACAAGAAUGCCAGAAAUUUGCAAGAGUAAGAAGCAUUUUUUUCCAUACCUUAAAUUUAAAUGCAAAAGUGAUAUCUGAACUGUCAAUCCGAAGCAUUACUCUCCGGAGCUUAUCUUUAUUUAAGUUGCUCCAAGCAUUUCUGAAAGAACCGGUUACCCUGUAUUUAAAUUAAGCUAAUAAGUACAUCUGAAAACAAAUAUACAAGAAUGCCAGGAAUUUGCAAGAGUAAGAAGCAUUUUUUCCAUACCUUAAAUGCAAAAGUGAUAUCUGAACUGUCAAUCUGAAGCAUUACUCUCUAGAGCUUAUCUUCUUUGGAUUGCCCUAGCUUCAUGAAUCCCUACAACAUAAAUUCCACAAAUACUUGAAACAUUUUUUUUCCAUUUUGGAUUAGCCUAGCUUCAUAAAACACAGGUGUUUUGCAUACCUGAUCGCUUAAUACGAGUAUUAGGCAUGAAAAUUCAAGCAUUCAAACUGUAUGAUUUGUUGAUCUGCAAAUUUCUAUGUAUGAUUUGUUGAGCUGCAAAAUGGCAUUAAAUUAGAUAGUUUAGAGUAAUGAGGUCGAGUGUAGUCUGAGUUUCUGUGAGUAGUCUGAUGCUGAUGCUGAUGCAAAUCCUGCAUUUGGGGGCUGUUUAGUUCCAAAAAAUUUUCACCCAAAAACAUCACAUCGAAUCUUUGGAUACCUAAAUAGAAUAUUAAACGUAGACAAAACGAAAAACUAAUUGCACAGUUAUGUGAGAAAUCGUGAAACGAAUCUUUUGAGCCUAAUUAGUACAUGAUUAGCCAUAAGUGCUACAGUAAUCAAUAUGCGCUAAUGGCGGAUUAAUUAGGCUCAAAAGAUUCGUCUCGUGGUUUCCAGGCGAAAUCUGAAAUUUAUUUUAUAAUUAGACCACGUUUAAUACUUCAAAUGUGAGUUUAAAGUUUUGAUGUGAUGUUUUUGCAAAAUCUUUUUGCAAACUAAACAAGGCCUUGAUAUGGCUGGCUGCUCUGCUCUGCUUGCUGCUGCUGCAGCAUCACCACUUGCUCAAGCUGGACCACUCUACAAACUGUUUCGUCUCAGUGGCUACGUGUUGCAUGAUAACCGUAGAGUUUCAAGUUUUGUUUCUUUCAUGUGAUCAGUAGUGGGACUGACUUUCUUGUUCUGGGACCAAUUUGAAGGGAUCAUGGUUAAAGUUUUAAAAUCAAUACAGGUGUUAAAUUGCAACACAAUUACUAAUUAGAAAACACAAAUUAAUCUUACAGUUUCCCUGUUAGCUUCACCAUAGUCCAUUGCAAGCCAGGUAUAUUUCUUUGCAUAACAUUUAAAGAUCUUGCGAUCUGACCAAUGGUUAUUGGUUUUGUCAUGGAACUUCCCCUCAAAUUCAUAUACUGCUUGUUCACGUGAUGGAGAGGGAUCAUGUAGCUUGUCCCCGUGCACCUACCCUCCCCCAUCUAUUGUAAACCAUGAAGCUUCCACCAACAUCAGAUUCUAAAAUUAACACAUCAGUUAAUGAUCUAUCAAACACUAUACAUUAUUCAGAGAUUGAAAAAUUGAAAGUAUGCACCCAGAAUACAUUUUAUGAAGAGUUUUACUUCCAUCCUUCCUUUUGUAUCUCGAGGUACCGGUACCUCGCGGUACCAAAUCGUUUCUGAUCGUUGGAUCCAACAGUGCACAUCCUACUUACUAGAUCCAAUGGUAAGAAACAAUUUGGUACCUCGAGGUACCGGUACCUCGAGGUACAAAAGGAAGUAUGAAAGUAAAACUCUUUUAUGAAUGGUGCAUUUGAUCUUCUAAAAGAAGCGUACUCAAUUCUGUGAAAUAAGCAGGUAAUUAUCAAAGUAAGAUAGCCUCAUGGAUCAAAUUCAUAUAACUCAACUGUUAGAAGAGAGGGAAUGUCAUUCUGAUCUCAACUGAUCAAAGAGAUAGAGGAGAGAGUUGUUGAAGAAACCUAAGGCUUGGAUGAUAUAGAACUUAUUAUUGUCAUCUCCGACAUUAGUCUGGUUCAUGGUGGAAUCAUAGAUCUCAUCACCCUGCAAUAGAAAUCAAUAGUUAGUAAAAGGCAUAGAUAAAGGCAUAAAGAACAGCGGUUUAUAAAGGUAUAAAUGAUGAAAUUAUAAUGUGAAGAGAAGACCAUGAGAUAAGCACUCUACCUACAGUCAAUACUGAAUACAUAAAUUAGGGACUCGAUCAUGUGCUUUCCAUAGACUAAUCUUUAAAUACAGUCAAUACUGAAUACAUAAAUUAGGGACUCGAUCAUGUGCUUUCCAUAGACUAAUCUUUAAAUACAGUCAAUACUGAAUACAUAAAUUAGGGACUCGAUCAUGUGCUUUCCAUAGACUAAUCUUUAAAUACAGUCAAUACUGAAUACAUAAAUUAGGGACUCGAUCAUGUGCUUUCCAUAGACUAAUCUUUAAAUACAGUCAAUACUGAAUACAUAAAUUAGGGACUCGAUCAUGUGCUUUCCAUAGACUAAUCUUUAAAUACAGUCAAUACUGAAUACAUAAAUUAGGGACUCGAUCAUGUGCUUUCCAUAGACUAAUCUUUAAAUACAGUCAAUACUGAAUACAUAAAUUAGGGACUCGAUCAUGUGCUUUCCAUAGACUAAUCUUUAAAUACNNNNNNNNNNNNNNNNNNNNNNNNNNNNNNNNNNNNNNNNNNNNNNUCAACUUAAUUUUAACGCCCUUCUUCUUAAUUUUCCUUAUUAAUUAACUAAGACUGAUGUUUGUUUUGAUCUUUAGAGGUAUUGCAAUUGCACAGCAAAUAGUUGGUUUUUUUGGUUUGAUACGGUAUCAUAUUUUUGUUGAUGUGGAUGGGAAUUUUUGUGCUUUUCUUUUUUGGUUGAAAUUGGGAAUCCAGAGUACAAUGUAGCUGCUGCCAACCUAUUGGUAAUUUUCCAAACUAUCCAGAGUAAAAUGCGAAUUUUACAGGUAUUCUUUGGGCGGCAAGGAUAACAAAUCAGUUACAAGCAUUAAGACCCAGUUUGGAUUCCUAUGGACAUUUUUUAAGUCCUUGUCACAUCGAAUGUUUGGAUACUAAUUAGAAGUAUUAAAUAUAGACUAUUAAUAAAACCCACCCCAUACUCUAGACUAUUUCACGAGACGAAUCUAUUAAGCCUAAUUAGUGCAUGAUUAGCGAAUGUGAUGCUACAGUAAACAUUUGCUAAUCGUGGAUUAGUUAGGCUUAAAAAAUUUGUCUAAUGAAAUAGCCUUUAUUUAUGUAAUUAGUUUUGUUAUCGGUCUAUAUUUAAUACUCCUAAUUAACGUUCAAAUAUCCGAUGUUACAAUAGACUAAAAAAAGUCCCAGAUCAAAACAGCCACUAAGUUUUCAGAAUGCUUGUUUAUUCUUGCCGUCAUUUUGGUAUGGUUGACUGAUAUCACUCGUUGCUUGCAGCAGGAUGAAAUCAGGUUCAAAGCUGGAAACCACACAGGAGCAUUUGUACUUCUAAGAUGAGAAAGUAGAGUCGUAUUGCCUUUUGGCUUUUGAAGUCACUCAUGUACGGUGUUACAGAAAACCGCAAUGUGUUACAAUGCAUCAUGAAUAACUAUUGCUUGGAGAUUUUGCUGUUGCACAUUUUUCACACAAUCUUGCCAUUACAGAACUUAAAUCUCGACCACUCUUCAAUGAUCUCUUCUUUAUGUGCCAAUCUUGUAGCGCAAGCAAGCUGAUAUGCCGACACGGCAUAAAACUUCUAUUGAAGUUGUACAAGCUCGAUUAAGAUGGUGAUUGGUUGCAUUUGUAUAGAACAAAAUCAAACGAUAAACG
rnacentral:lncRNA from 1 species